rnacentral:rRNA from 1 species
GAUGAACGCUGGCGGCGUGCCUAAUACAUGCAAGUCGAGCGAACGGACGAGAAGCUUGCUUCUCUGAUGUUAGCGGCGGACGGGUGAGUAACACGUGGAUAACCUACCUAUAAGACUGGGAUAACUUCGGGAAACCGUAGCUAAUACCGGAUAAUAUUUUGAACCGCAUGGUUCAAAAGUGAAAGACGGUCUUGCUGUCACUUAUAGAUGGAUCCGCGCUGCAUUAGCUAGUUGGUAAGGUAACGGCUUACCAAGGCAACGAUGCAUAGCCGACCUGAGAGGGUGAUCGGCCACACUGGAACUGAGACACGGUCCAGACUCCUACGGGAGGCAGCAGUAGGGAAUCUUCCGCAAUGGGCGAAAGCCUGACGGAGCAACGCCGCGUGAGUGAUGAAGGUCUUCGGAUCGUAAAACUCUGUUAUUAGGGAAGAACAUAUGUGUCAGUAACUGUGCACAUCGUGACGGUACCUAAUCAGAAAGCCACGGCUAACUACGUG